UUUAGUCGAGCGGCUGAUGGUGCGGUAAACUGAGUUCCUUUCGCGGUCAAUUGGCAUUGUUUUCGUGUAUUGUCGCUAGCUCAAUGCUUGUUUUAACAAACAAAAAGUGUUGGCCAGUUUGAAUUGCAUGCAAACGGAUUGAGCUAUUUAUUUAUUUGUGAAAAUCGCUGCGAAUAGGGUCAAAAUAAAACACGCAAAAAGCGUUUUAAUUCCGAGUAUUUCUUAAAAAAAAAAAACCAAAAAAAAAAAAAAAAACAAUUUAUAAGCGUGUCUGUCUGUGCGACUCGUGCAUGUGUGUGUGUGUGUGUAAGCAGAACAACGCGCGUGAUUCAUACCUUUAUACACCGGGGGCGGCACAGGAAAAGUCGUCGACGACAGCGCGUGUUGUUGUUGGCCAGAA
rnacentral:sRNA from 1 species